UACGUAGGGGGGCAAGCGUUGUCCGGAUUUACUGGGCGUAAAGAGCGUGUAGGCGGCCAGACAGGUCCGUUGUGAAAAACUAGAGGCUUAACCUCUAGACGUCGAUGGAAAACCGUCUGGCUAGAGUCCGGAAGAGGAGAAAUGGAAUUCCUGGUGUAGCGGUGAAAUGCGCAGAUAUCAGGAAGAACACCCGUGGCUAAGGCGGUUCUCUAGUACGGUACUGACGCUGAGACGCGAAAGCGUGGGGAGCGAACAGG
rnacentral:rRNA from 1 species